UACGAGGGGGGCAAAUGUUGUUCGGAAUCACUGGGCGUAAAGGGAGCGUAGGCGGGUGUUUAAGUUAGGUGUUUAAUCCCAGGGCCCAACCCUGGUCGUGCACUUAAAACUGGACAUCUUGAAUAGGGGAGAGGUCAGUGGAAUUGGGGGUGUAGCGGUGGAAUGCGUAGAGAUCCCCAAGAACACCAGUUGCGAAGGCGGCUGACUGGACCCUGAUUGACGCUGAGGCUCGAAAGCAUGGGGAGCAAACAGG
rnacentral:rRNA from 1 species